CCUGUCAUCGUCUAGUGGUUAGGACACCAGGUUUUGACUGGUUCUUCGCAUCCGCGGAACGUCCUGGUAACUUGGGUUCGACUCCCAAUGACAGGU
rnacentral:tRNA from 1 species